UGUUUGUUUUAGUUCCUAAAGCACAGGACGGUCUAUAAUUUCUUCGAAGUGUGUCUUGAUACGCUUGAAUCUAAGAUCCAUAUGUUGGUCUACACAUUGCUCCCAUCGUUGCAACAUUUCGUCCUUAUGGUCACACACAAAGAGUGCAAAAUAAAGAGAAAAUACUCAACUGAUUUUUUAUUACUGAAAAAACUAAUACAUAAAAAUCUGGGGUAUUUGUAG
rnacentral:misc_RNA from 1 species